ACUUCCCGAGACAGUGGCAGCUGGCAGUUGGGACACAGUAACUCUCCUUAACUUCCACAGUGCUCCUUAAUGAAAAAGGACUGCACCCCUGCUGCCCCGCCCGGAUGCUGAUCCUCCAGCUGGAAGAGCUGUUCCCUUAAAUCAGUAGCUCUGGCUGGCUCAUUCUGGGGGAGGAAGGCACAUUAUAUUCUCUCAUGUUCCUGUGCUGGGCAAUGCCCCAGCUGCCCCUGUGACAGAGCCUCUGUUGUGGGGAGACUGGCUUCUGAAGGUUUCUUGCACCUUCCUCUGAAGCAUCUGGCACUGGCCACUGCCAGGGUCAGGAUACUGCAGUAGAUGGACCCCUGGUCUGAUUCCAGUUGAUCCCUACAUUUUAAUCAAGUCGUGACAAGCUGUUGAGAGCAAUUCCCCAGCACACAGCUGGCCUAACAGGCCAUUCAUGCCGCAGAAGGUUCAAUAAUUCAACAAGCAAACUCAAGCCAGCAGCAGUCUCGGUCCCCAGCCAAGACUCAAAGUCAUCUUCAGAUUAAACAUCGGCUCUGCCCAAUUGCUUUGUAUUCCAGUGACUUCUCCCUUCCUGGGAACGCUCUGUUACCCGGCGACAGAAGAACAAAAUCCUCAACGGACAAGAUUUCUGCUGCCCGACUGGAGGGAGGAGACUGGAAGGGGGCUGGGAUUUCACUCCUGGUCCCCACCCCAGCCCCUGAAGCUAAGCGGUACCUCUUGCCAAGGCGUUAGAAAAUACUGCAUUUUGCCCUAUUCUGUGCAACAGACACACUUUUUUUUUUUGCCUUUUUUUCUUCUAUUUUUAAAUAAAGUGCAUUUAGUGCUGGUGAAAGGGGCUGGCCCGGCAGACUGAUGUCUGUCCACAGAACCGGUAGUGCCUGGGCAGCCAUGGGCAAGCUUUCCCCACCCUCGUCCCUCCCCUUCCCAAGGUGCAUCUGGCCUAUGCUAGAGUGGCAUUCAGCCUCCACCCAUGGCCUCUCUGCUCGAAGGCUGGCAGUUGUGACAUGAGCUUGCGGACUGGGAGCUGAACUGAGCCCACCAAACCCUUUCACCACUCUCCCAUCAGAUGGCUGGUUGCAAGUGGCCUGGGUCAGAUCCGAGUUGGUGUCUGAGGUGAGAGGCGCUCUCUAUUCCAUCCCUGGUCCAGUACACCUGUAUAAAAUGGGCUGGAAUUUUGCAUUGCCUUGUAUCACAUGUAGAGAUGCAACUCCUGAAAUUGAACGCCUGCCUCCUACAUGGAUAGAAAUGGAUCAGUCCUGCCCCAGGCCAGUUGUUUCCAGCUGCUGAAAGGCAAAUCCUGAGCAGGGCUGUUGGAAACCUCCCGAGGCACCUCUGAUUUGGCUCCCUUAGUUCAGCAUCCUGGUCUCUACAUAGCAAUCAAGACCCAGCCCGGGUGCUUCAGUGCCAACUGAUUGUCUCUUCUUUCCCAUUCGCUGCUUCUCUUUUCACCUGACACACUAAAGUGCGCAAAAAAUUAAUAAUAAAAUUUAAAAAAAUACAGCCAUGGCAGCUCGGCAGCCUGGCUACUGGAUCGAAGAUGGCCCCAAAGACAGGGAUAGAACAGCAACUACUGUGCUCACCUGCACUGCUCCCGAGACUGUCUUUGAGAUGCCAGCAACGGAGCUGUAUUAAAUGCCCCAUCCCUACCCCUAACGCUGACAUUACGCCUGCGUCACAAGCUUGCCUGAAGGGCAGCCUAUCUGCCAGCGUUCCUGUCCCCUCUUCGGAUGCCUGCCUCCUGCAAGCCCCCUGCCCACCCCAUGUAAAUGUUAAUGGCCUUCCCUUCUCCUCAUCUGCUUGGCUUCCUUGGGGCUCCCAUGGGGACCAGA